rnacentral:rRNA from 1 species
UGGGGAAUUUUGGACAAUAGGCGAAAGCCUGAUCCAGCAAUGCCGCGUGUGUGAAGAAGGCCUUCGGGUUGUAAAGCACUUUUGUCCGGAAAGAAAUCCUUGGCUCUAAUACAGUCGGGGGAUGACGGUACCGGAAGAAUAAGCACCGGCUAACUACGUGCCAGCAGCCGCGGUAAUACGUAGGGUGCAAGCGUUAAUCGGAAUUACUGGGCGUAAAGCGUGCGCAGGCGGUUUGCUAAGACCGAUGUGAAAUCCCCGGGCUCAACCUGGGAACUGCAUUGGUGACUGGCAGGCUAGAGUAUGGCAGAGGGGGGUAGAAUUCCACGUGUAGCAGUGAAAUGCGUAGAGAUGUGGAGGAAUACCGAUGGCGAAGGCAGCCCCCUGGGCCAAUACUGACGCUCAUGCACGAAAGCGUGGGGGAGCAAACAGGAUUAGAUACCCUGGUAGUCCACGCCCUAAACGAUGUCAACUAGUUGUUGGGGAUUCAUUUCCUUAGUAACGUAGCUAACGCGUGAAGUUGACCGCCUGGGGAGUACGGUCGCAAGAUUAAAACUCAAAGGAAUUGACGGGGUCAUA